AGCUUUAAGUUUUAUUUAAAGUGAGACCUGCCCAGUGCUAAUUAGUAAACGGCCGCAGUACCUUGACUGUGCUAAGGUAGCAUAAUCAGUUGGCUUUUAAAUGGAGUCGGGAAUGAAUGGAUUAAUAGGGUUAAGCUGUCUCUACUAUAUUAAAUUGAACUUACUUAUUAGGUGAAAAUGCCUAAGUUGUAAAAGAAAAAAGACGAGAAGACCCUAGGAGUUUUAACUAGAUGCUAUUUAUUAUAGUUAAUGUUUUUGUUGGGGCGACAUUGGAACAAUUUUAUUUAACUUCCUUUAUGUUUAUAGGCCGACUUUGUAUGUAAAUCUAAACUACCCUAGGGAUAACAGCGUAAUUCUUUUUGAGCUUGCGACCUCGAUGUUGGACUAGGAAUUUGGUGGGCUAGCCGCCUAUUUAUAUUGUUCUGUUCGAACUGUUUUUCC
rnacentral:rRNA from 1 species